GUCUACAGCCAUGCCACCCUGAACAAGCCCGAUGUCUGAUCUCGGAAGCUAAGUAGGGUCAGCUCUGGUUAGUACUUAGAUGAGAAACCACCUAGGAAGACCAGAUGCUGUAGGCA
rnacentral:rRNA from 1 species